CUAUACCAAUAUGCAUCAAAGCUUUUUGCCAUCCUGUCAUCCAACCAAACCAUCUCUCCCAGGGAUCUUUUAUCCCAGAGUUCCUCUUUAGCUCCUCAGAGAGCUCUUUCAAUUUUCCUAUAGCUAAAGUUACUUUACCAUUGGGGCCUGUGUUUUCUGGGAUGUAAGUACAACAUGUCAUGGUGUCAGGCAGAAUUUUACAUACCCCUCCUUUUUCGGCUAGAAUCAUAUCUAAAGC